GAAAUUCUGGGUUGAAAACUAUUUUCUUUAAGAAUUUUGAGACAGAGACACCCAUUCUAUUCCCAGCUUGCUCCAUAGCUGGUGUUUGGAAGAUAGUUUACAACAGUG
ensembl:snoRNA